rnacentral:rRNA from 1 species
AUGAAUUUCCCCAAUCUCAACAAGCUCACCCUGUUUAACAUUUCCAUCUCCGAGGAGGUCUUCCACAGACUGCUCUCCGGCUGCCAUGCCUUGGAGAGCUUAUACAUGGCCGAUUUUCAUGCUCCGGAUCGCCUCCGUGUUAUCUCGCCGACUAUUAGGAGCAUCAUCUUCCGUCAUAGUUCUAGUACUAGUAAAAAAGUGGAACUGGUCAUCGAGGAUGCUCCUCGUCUUCUAAGGUUACUAUUAACUGAUUGUAACCGUGAUGAUCGCGUCACUAUCAGGGUAAUUAGGGCGCCUGAUCUGGAGAUAUUGGGCCCUUUCUUAGUGGUCGUCUCCAAGCUCCUACUCUUCAAGGGAAUAAGCUCAGUCAGCUCCACAAACUCGAUGAGCACUGUGAAGGUUUUUGCUCUCAGGUCUUCUGGAGAUAGACUGGAUGCAGUUCUUAACAUCCUCAGGUGGUUCCCCUGUUUGGAAAAGCUCUAUGUCACUUUUCGUCGAUGUAGGGAUAAGAGAACUGAGCCUCCGUAUGACCCACUACAUCCAAUCGAAUGCCUUGAGACCCAUCUAAAAAAAGUAGUGUUCAAGUCAUUCUUGGGCUAUGGGAAACAGCUUGAAUUUGCGAGGUUCUUUGUAUUGAAUGCAAAGGUGCUAGACAGAAUUGAAUUUGAAGUAUAUAAUAAGUACAGCAGUGAAACGGCGGCUUAUCAGCGCAUGCUGCUACAAGUGGAAAACAGAGCUUCCCGAGAUGCUCCGUUUGAAUUCAGGAUUAGCCCUACUAAAUCUGGACUGAUUGACAUGUGUUGA